rnacentral:rRNA from 1 species
UACGUAGGGGGCAAGCGUUGUCCGGAUUUAUUGGGCGUAAAGAGCGUGUAGGCGGCUAGGUAGGUCCGUUGUGAAAACUCGAGGCUCAACCUCGAGACGUCGAUGGAAACCAUCUAGCUAGAGUCCGGAAGAGGAGAGUGGAAUUCCUGGUGUAGCGGUGAAAUGCGCAGAUAUCAGGAGGAACACCGGUGGCGAAGGCGGUUCUCUGGGCCUUACCUGACGCUGAGGAGCGAAAGCGUGGGGAGCAAACAGG